rnacentral:rRNA from 1 species
CCCUUAGAUGUCCUGGGCCGCACGCGCGCUACAAUGAUGCAACCAACGAGUGCUGCUCCUUGGCCGAGAGGCCCGGGGAACCUUGCAAACUGCAUCGUGCUGGGGAUAGAUGAUUGCAAUUCUUCAUCUUGAACGAGGAAUGCCUUGUAAGCGUGAGUCAUCAACUCGCGCUGAAUACGUCCCUGCCCUUUGUACACACCGCCCGUCGCUCCUACCGAUUGAAUGAUCCGAUGAAUAUCAUGGAUUGAGGAUGCAAGCAGGUUCGCCUGUCUUCAUCUUCGAGAAGUGAAGUAAAUCUUAUCAUUUAGAGGAAGGAGAAGUCGUAACA